AAUCGUUACGAACACCGUUUGUAUUGCUCAUUCAUUUUUUUGAGCUUAAUGUCCUUUUGAAAAUUAACUCGAGCCUAUAUUAGUAUCAUGUAUAAAGUGUAGCUACAACUAUUGAGAUGUUGAUUCCUUAAGAGCAAGACUUUUGGAUACGAAAAAUGAAGCAGGUAAGCAUGCGCCCCCAAAAAGAGUUUUGGAGCAUUAAUUCUUGCAGACCACAAAGCCUAUGAUUAGUUUAAUACGCUAGAAAAUACACCGGUUACAUGGAUACCCGAAUAUGAAGAGAGCUUCCAACCUCCAAGAGGAGGAUUAACCCCAAAUCCAGUAAUCAGGAUACCCGAACUUAUUUAACAACUCGGAAUUAGUGCGAUACAUUACCAGAGGGGUUUAGGAUACGUGUAAAUACAACAUCGUAAAGUGGUAACAGAUGCCCUGAGUAAGAAGUUUUUGGGAAAAUUCUUGGAUAUUAAGGGUAUAGCUAAAGGAGUCAAACUAAAUCUAUUGCGAUUUUAAAACAUAGCAAAGACGAAAUGCAGGAAGUGUGAGGGGACGAUAAAGGCCUACCGAGAAUGUCGAAGUCUGGCAAACGAAAGGGAACUAAGAAAAGAUUUAUAUGUUUAGUGUCAAAAUAGAGAUCGUAGAGUCAAGGACUUAAGGAGUGCAAUAACAGUGAUAAGGAGCUACUAAAAGAACCGAAGCCGGCUGAAUCAAGAAGACACCAUGAGCGGGUUAUGUGUCGAGAUUAGGAGUUAGAAUGAGAAACUGUUGUCCGAAGAAUACAAGAGAGGAUUUUUGAAGUUACCUUGGGGUUUCUAAGACGUAUCGCGAAUUCAAGAAGAUAUUUUGAGCCGCCAGAAGUGAAGAACAAAGUGACGAUCCAUGUGAUUACAUGUUCGACGCAUGAGAAAGAAAAGAGAAUAACCAUCGAUUUCAUAAUAGGUUGCCGACGACUAGGACAAAAGGUGAUACUGUUAGGGAAUUGUGGAUCAAGUGACCAGGCCCGUUUUGCCCAUCGGAGUAAACCACUUGCUGGGGAUAUCAAAGAGACUAUACAUCAGGGAGAAGGUGAGACUUCACAGUAUGCUAAACACCUUUGAAUUAACUGAAAACUGGAAUAUCAAACGUCUUAGUUCCUGAAUUUGACAGCCGAAACAACGGAGGAAGAGUGACACAAAUCUAAGUUAGAAUUCUCACUAUGAAAGCCGACAAAAGAGUUAGGCAGAUCUAAGAAGAAGACUUCUCAAGUUGGAAGGAAGAGGAUACCUAUUUCUGAAGAUCACUUCAACGAACUAGAAUCGGAUGAUCAAUCAAAAACUAAAAAGCUAAAUUCCCAUCACAUCGGACCAGUGGCGUAUAGGAUCGCUUUACUAUCACAAUGUUCGAACCUGCAUGAUGUGUUUCACAUAUUACAGCUUCAUAAAUACACUUUCGACCCAGUUAUGUCCUACAACCAGAAUCAGUCCAAGUAAGAGAAGGUCUGACGCUUCUAGUAACUCUGGUUAGGAUUGAUGAUACUAGCAUUAAACGUUUACGCGGGAGAGAGGUUUUCUUAGUGAAAGUAGCUUGGUGUUGGGCUGGUAUUGAAGAAUACACCUAGAAGCUUGAGACAGAGAUGCGGAAGGACUAACCACACCUCUAUUCAGGUAGCGCACUCUGAAUUUUGAGGACAAAAUUCCUAAUUAGGUGGGUAGGAUGUAAACCCCGCUAAAAUCGGUAUAUAAUUAGUCAAUAAAUCGAAUUUCCAAUAGGAAAAUUAAAUACGCAAAACUGAUAUCAAAAUAAGAUAGAGCUCAUCGAAACAAGAAUUUUGAUACCAAUUUCAAAAAGUUUGGCCCAAGAUUGGGCCGGAUGGGCCGAACUGGUUGAACCGGACCCAAAAUGGGCCCAAGGCCCAACCGAACCCAAUCCAUUAAAGAGGCACAGCUUCUUAUUUCCCUUCUUCUUUAUUAUUCACGCUGGGAAACAUUUCUUAGGGGGAAGAAGAACACAAGCAAAAACCUAACCCUCACUUUAAUUUCAAAUCCAUGUAACUUUUGAUCCGGAGCUCCGAUUGACGAACCGUUUGCGACCACGCGUUCACCGCGACGAGCUCUACGAAACCCAUGGAACAAUUUGGUUCAAGUCAGCUUCCGGAACUUGUGGGCUCAAGCUAUUGAGCAUAUGGGUAUGGUGUAGAUUAAGUGGGUAUAUAUGCAUUGGGAAUAUUUAGAGGCUUGUUGGUGAUCAAAGCUUAGUGUGUGGCUAUUUUACUUGAGCUUGAAGAGGCUGUAAUUUUGUGUUGAGAAGCUGCCUUGGGUGAAUUAAGUGAUCGGCCAAGAUGCAGGUCGAGAGGCUCCUCGCUAGGCGUCUGGAUUCUGGAAAGCGAAGUAGUUCUUGGGUGUAUUUUGGUUUCUAUUUGUAUAUAUGUAUAUAUAUGUGUAGCUUACUCUCCAAGUAACUUAUGUAUGCUGCUCCUCUUAGAGGUUGAGGGAGAGAUAGGAGUUUACUUUGGUAUUUUGGUAUAUUUUGGGGACACUUAUGUAUGUUUGUAUGUAUAUAUAUAUCCUCCGGCCAGCCUUAACUUCGCAGGCUGAGUCAGAGGCUAGUUAUGCUAUUCCUUGGCUUUUCUUUA